GUGUGUGACCUAAUGGUCUUAACAGAUAAGUCUUCACCAGUGCUUUUUCCCUAGAAAAAUAGUUGCAGGAACUUUCACCUUUUUGGGAUGGACAACCCUAGGAGUGCCAAAGUUGUUGAACUUUUUGUAGCACAGCUACAAGCACCGUUCCUAUAGCAACGCUUAAGAGGAGCCAGAACUCAGUUCCAGUGAGUUCCAGCUGGAAAAAAAGCCCUAGUCUUCACCACCCUCACAAAAUUACAUUUCCCAAGACUGAACUAGUAUAGAAAGGUUGUAAGAGAUGCCAGCCAGCUCCAUCUGUCAAAGGGGAUGACAGCUGGCCUCCCACUAAUCCCAUUUGUGGGUGAUUGUGAUGUAACUUCUACUAUGAUGCACUCAUUGUUCUCUUGGUGAUGGGUCAAGCUCAGUGGGCAGUUUCAGUGACGUAGCGGAUGAGGAAGGAUCUCAUGGGAGCAGAUGGAUGCUGCUCCAAUGGAGGGAAAGUUUGGGGAAACCAAAUGGGAGGAAACAAUUUCCGCUCACCCCCUCCCUUGCGACACUGUGCGGGCUCCUGCGACAGGUGAGCCCCCCACCUUUGUUCCAGGGAGGCCAUCGCCCUGCCCCCAUCUCAGCAGGCCUAUGGGCAGCCGGCUGGGGGUGGGGCGAGGGUCAGCAUAAGAAGCCGAUGUGACUCAGCCCAGGCUCACUUGGGGUGGCGAGGAUGCGGUGGCCUUUUUCUUCUGCCCCCCCCCGGCUUCAGGCCUUCUUAGGCCUCCUGCACCUGCAGCCACCCCCCCCAGCAUCAGGUGGGAAUCGGGGCCCUACAGCCUACUUCUGGGCCUACUCAGGCCUUCCUCGACUGGCGCUGCUUGUGGGACUGGUUUUCUGGGAUCUGGAGGGUCUGCUGGGGUCUCCUCCCAGCACCAGUACCCUCCCGCUCUUGGCCUAUGGUUUCUACUGUUGCCAUUUGGCCUUGAGGGUGCAUUCUUGCUGCUGAUUUUGCACGCACUUAGCAGGUCACUGGUUGCUGUCUCUUAAUUAUUAGGAUAUAUUAAUUUUUUUUAAAAAAAUGUCCAUUAGCACCUUAGAGACCAACUAAGUUUGUUUGGGUAUAAGCUUUCAUGUGCAUGCACACUUCUUCAGAUACACUGAAACAGAAGUCACCAGACCCUUAUAUAUAGUGGGAGGGUGGGGUGGGGUUUUUCUCAGGAGGGUAGUAGGAGAUGGGUGAUUGACUCAAUGGGUAUGGUAAACCUGUUGACGACUGUUAAUGACUGUAAUUAGUCCUACAGGAAAAAGCAAGGGAUAGUAUGCAGAUGAUUAGCAUAUGUAAUGAGACAGGAAUCCAAUAUCUCUAUUAAGACCAGGUCUCUCCAUAGUUUUCAGUUUAGUGAUAAGUUGUAAUUCAGCAACUUCUCUUUCAAGUCUGUUUCUGAAUUUUUUUUGUAAUAAGACAGCUGCUUUGAGAUCCUGUAUUGAACGUCCUGGGAGACUGAAGUGUUCUCCUACUGGUUCCUCUGUCUUAUGAUUCCUGAUGUCAAAUUUAUGUCCAUUUAUCCUUUGGCAUAGGGACACGGGUGGCACUGUGGGUUAAACCACAGAGCCUAAGACUUGCCAAUCAGAAGGUCGGCGGUGCGAAUCCCCGCGACAGGGUGAGCUCCCAUUGCUCGGUCCCUGCUCCUGCCAACCUAGCAGUUCGAAAGCACGUCCAAGUGCAAGUAGAUAAAUAGGUACCACUCCGGCAGGAAGGUAAACGGCAUUUCCGUGCAUUGCUCUGGUUAGCCAGAAGCAGCUUAGUCAUGCUGGCCACAUGACCCGGAAGCUGUACGCUGGCUCCCUCAGCCAAUAAAGCGAGAUGAGCGCCGCAACCCCAGAGUUGGUCAUGACUGGACCUAAUGGUUAGGGGUCCCUUUACCUUUUAUCCUUUGGCAUAGGGUUGGCCUGUUUUCCCAAUAUAGAGAGCUGAAGGGCACUGCUGGCAUUUGAUGGCAUACACAAUGUUAGAAGAUGAGCAAUUAAAUAGGCCUGAGAUGGUAUGUUUGACGUUGUUGGGUCCAGUGAUGGUGUUGUCUGGGUGUAUGUGGCAGCAGAGUUGGCAUCUGGGUUUAUUGCAGGCUCUGGUACUAGUGUCCAUGUUAAGUCUGCUUGCUGUUAUUAGGAUAUAUUAACCACUCCUUUCAUUUUUGACCAAUUGCAUUGCAUGGGCUGCUUCUUGGUGGCCUACACUUCUGGUCACCAGCCCACGGCUUGGGUGGCGCAGUUUUGGCUUCAAGCGUCAAGUUUGCGGGAAUCUAACAUUAUUUUGCUUGCUUUUCUUUUCUUUCUUUUUUUUUGCAGUGCGUACUUUUAUUUUAUUUUAUUUUAUUUGAAAAGUUAUUAUUAUUAAAAUAAUUCGGCAUCAAUACACACAUAUUACGAAUAUACAAGCAUACAAACAUACAUUUCAUACAAUCCUUAAAAAUGUUCAAACAUACCUACACUCAAUCCCACAGAUAUUUUCUUUUCCCAUCUCCAUCCCUCACCCUUCACCCCACCUUUGGGUUAGACUUCCAAUCUACUCAAUUGCAAUUUUUUUCCACUUCUAUUACUUUCUUUCACACACUUUAAACCCAGUUUUCUGCUUCUUUUUCUAUUGCACAUUGUUAUCCAUCUUAUUUAGUAUUUCAGUAUUUAAAAUGGAACUUGUUUAUUCUAAUAGUUCUGAUUUUUCAAUAUGGUUUUGCAAGUAUCCUUUAAACACCUUCCAGUUCCUGUCUAUCUUCUCUUUUGAGAUCCUUCCAAUUUUCGCAAUCAAUAGCCUUGCAGCUACUGUUGCGUAUAAAUAUAAUUUUGCUUGCUUUUCAGUAUCUCCUUUAGCAGCGCAUGCGCAGUAGGUUGCUGGUUUUGUCUGUUAGACUUUACUGUAGUUACCCAACUUUAGAAUUCAGCUUGCUGCCACAGUGUUACAUUGUCGAGUAGCUGGUAAUUGCUUGUCCUCAUGCUGCUUAUGCCAUCAGGUCUCCUGCUAAGGCAACUGAGCAUGGUGAUACCUCCCCUCCCCACAAACGUAGGUGUAUAGUGUGGGGCACCCCUAGCAGUGCUGUGCAGGCAGCAAAUAAGAUCAAGGAAAGGGUCCCGUCUACUGGCAGGAAGGCCCCCCUCCAUCCCGCGUGCCACGGCCAAGGGUUUACAAAGGGAAAAAUAAUACUUAAAAAUAAAUAAAUCCUAGUCGGUAUCUGUGUUGGAUUUGAAAUUGUUUUUCUAUAUACAAUUGUUUUAACUGUUUUUCUAUAUGUUUUUGUUAUGCUGUGAAAUUGCUUUGAGAACUUUCAUUGGAAUUGAUUCAGAGAUGAUGAUGUUGAUAAUUCCCCAGGGAAGAUAAUACCAUGGCCUACAAACAUAUACAUAAAGUGUAGAAAACUACAAGAAAACUGGCAGCAAUACAGACCUUUGAGGAUUUGGUAAUUUGUAUGCAGAUUUCAAAAGGAACUGUAAUUUAUCCUUGAACGAGCGUUGGAAAGCAACAAGUCAUCCUUAAAAAAAACAACCACAGGAAAGAAACUAUGUUUAAAUAAUCUGAUGUGAUGUAAGAAACUGAACGUGUUGCUCUGUCUUGAGAAGCAUAAAAGUUCUCAGGUAAGUGUUACCACCAUGCAGGUAAGUCCAAAGGAGCUAUUGCAAAUACGUAUCCUUUUAUUUGCUGGCUGACCUGUUCAAUCACCGGAGAAACUGACAAUGUGAAAAUGUUUGUUUGAUCACCCAGUGGCUUUUUUGCAGAUUGGAAAUGGACCUUCCAAUUGAAAAAGAUCUAUAAUCCGUCUAUUCUUGAAAAAAGAGGUGAAAAGCUUAAGGAAAAGCCUUGUUUUCAGUAGGAUCAAGGAAGAAAGAAAUUAAUAAGAACUAAUAUGUGACAGAAGAAAUGAAAGGUGCUGCACUGCUUUAAGAAGAGAAGCAGAAAACAUCACAGAUGGGCAUUGCCAAUGAAUGGGUGGAGGUUAAAUGAUUUCAGUAAUAUAUGGGAUAAUAAAUUAAGGUGGGCUUCUUUUCAAAUUCAAGAACAACAAGAGCAGGACUUCCAUCCAAGAGGUAAGAAACAUCUUUCAGUUCUAGCACAAGAAAUGGCAUAUUCUGAAGGGACUGAGAUGAAGCACUCCAGAGUUCAAGGUGAGCAAGUGAGUCUCUGCACGCCACACGGUAUCAGUUCAUUUAUUUGCUUGGCUUCCUAAAUAUUACUUUGUCAAGGCUUGCUUACAAAGGGGGAAGUAAUACUUAAAAAUAAAUAAAUCCUAGUCGGUAUCUGUAAUGAUUUGAAAUUGUUUUUAUAUACAAUUGUUUUAACUAUUUUUCUCUAUGCUUUUCUUAUGCUGUGAAAUUGCUUUGAGAACCUUCAUAGGAAUUGAUUCAGAGAUGCUGAUGCUGAUAAUUCACCAGGGAAGAUAAUACCAUGGCCUACAAACGUAUACGUAUACAUAUAAGGUAGAAAACUACAGCAAAACUGGCAGCAAUCAAGACCUUUGAGGAUUUGUCUUGGAAAGCUAUGGAAUCUAGUUUAUGGCAAGCUUAAGAAAGCAACAGAUCCAUAAGCAAUGAACAAAAUUAUAUGAUAUGAGGUAAGGAAUAUAAUAACAUGCAUCAAGAACAGAGAAGUGAACAUCAUUGGCAUGGUAAGUCUUUAAGGGGUACAUCCUAAAUGGAAAAGAAAGCAACUUCUUGGCUGAUUUUUCUUUCUCUGUUUAUACAACCUAAUCACUGGAGACAGCUACAAACCGAUGAACAUUUAUUUGAUCAUUUGGUAAUUUCUAUGCCGAUUUGAAAGGGAUCUUCCCAAACAAAAGGAACUGUAAUCUAUCCUUGAAAGAGCGUUGGAAAGCAAAAAGUCAUCCUUAAAAAAAAAAAAACCACAGGAAAGAAACUGCGUUUAAAUAAUCUGAUGUGAUGUAAGAAACUGAAUGUGUUACCCUGUCUUGAGAAGCAUAAAACUUCUCAGAUAAGUGUUACCGCCACACAGGUAAGUCCAAAGGAGCUAUUGCAAAUACGUAUCCUUUUAUUUGCUGGCUGACCUGUUCAAUCACCGGAGAAACUGACAAUGUGAAAAUGUUUAUUGGAUCAUCCCGUGGCUUUUUUGCAGAUUGGAAAUGGACCUUCCAAUUGAAAAAGAUCUAUAAUCCGUCUAUUCUCAAAAAAAGAGUUGAAAAGCUUAAGGAAAAGCAUAGUUUUCAGUAGGAUCAUGGAAGAAAGAAACUAAUAAGAACUAAUAUGUGACAGAAGAAAUGAAAGGUGCUGCACUGCUUUAAGAAGAGAAGCAGAAACAUUACAGAUAGGCGUUGCCAGCAUGCAGGUAGGUCUAAAGGAGGUAACUUGUAUUGGUCAUUUUUCCUCACUGGCUGACCAAUCACUGGAGAAAUCUAUGACAUGUACAUACUUAUGUGACCAUUUAGUAAAUUCUCUGCAGAUUGGAAAGGGGAUUUUCUGCAGUAAACAGAACUGUAAUCUGCCCAUUCUUCAAAGACACCACCACAAAGAUAUCUGGAGGAUCAAGAAACAAUUUUGUAACCAGAGGUGUGGAAUAAUGUAAGACAUGUAAGUUCAAUGGAGGGAAAAUUUGGAGAAAGAAAGUGGAAGAAAACAAAAGAAAAUUAUCCCAGGGAGCAAAAAUCUGUAAAAUACAACAGCUUAAAACUGCAGCUCGCCUGCUUAAGACUACCAAUUUUUUGUUUAUUUGUCUGAUAUUAGGGACACUCAGAGAGAAUCCUGGCCAAGCUAUGAACAUCGCUACUGCUCAUAUGCCCCACCAAUGAAUGGGUGGAGGUGUAAUGAUUUCAAUAAUAUAUGGGAUAAUAAAUUAAAUUGUGCUUCUUUUUAAAUUCAAGAACAACAAGAGCAGGACUUCCAUCGGAGAGGUAAGAAACAUCUUUCAGUUCUAGCGCAAGAAAUGGCAUAUUCAGAAAGGGACUGAGAUGAAGCACUCCAGAGUUCGAGGUGAGCAAUUGAGUCUCCAAACGCCACACCGUAUCAGUUCAUUUAUUUGCUUGGCUUCCUAAAUAUUACUUUGUCAAGGCUUGCUUACAAAGGGGGAAAUAAUACUUAAAAAUAAAUAAAUCCUAGUCGGUAUCUGUAUUGGACUUGAGAUUGUUUUAACUAUUUUUCUCUGCGUUUUUAUUAUGCUGUGAAAGUGCUUUGAGAACUUUCAUAGGAAUUGUUAAUUUCUAUGCUGAUUUGAAAGGGAUCUUCCAAUUGAAAAAGAUCUAUAAUUUGUCUAUUCUCAAAAAACGAGUUGAAAAGCUUAAGGAAAAGCCUUGUUUUCAGUAGGAUCAAGGAAGAAAGAAACUAAUAAUAUAUGACAGAAGAAAUGAAAGGUGCCGCCCUGAUUUAAGAAGAGAAGCAGAAAACAUCACAGAUGGGCAUUGCCAGCAUGCAGGUAGGUCUAAGAGAGGUAACUUGUACUGGUCGUUUUUCCUUACUGGCUUACUGGUGAAAUCUUUGACAUGUACAUACUUGUUUGACCAUUUAGUAACCUCUCUGCAGAUUGGAAAGGGGAUUUUCUGCAUUAAACAGAACUGUAAUCUUCCCAUUCUUCAAAAAGAGAACUCAAACAACUACAAAGAUAUCUGUAGCAUCAAGAAACAAUUUUGUAACCAGAGGUUUAGCAUAAUGUAAGAAAUAUAAGUUGCACUCUUGCAGGAAGAGUGAUGUAUGAAGCAUCAAAGAAGAGCAUCUCUGGUAGGUCUUGAAGAUGUCUCCCUGCCCCCCAAAACACAGGUACUUUGUUUCCUUUUCUUUGUAUCUAUAGUUUUCUUCUGAAACCAAUAACUGAAAAUAUCAGUGUUUAAAGUUACCUGUUCAUUACGAUGUCUUCUUGCAGGUUGAAAAGGAAUUUCCCAAUUUUAAAGGAGCUGUAAUAUGCCCAUUCUUUAAAGAUACAGUCUCAUCCAGUGGCUACUAUUCAUCUUAUCAGGGGAGCCUGGUGGGGAUGCCGAGGGAUGAAACAGACCACCCAGCAAGCCAAUCUCUCAUAACAGCCCAAUCUCUACCAUGGCAUCAGCCAUGCUAAAAUCAUCUCUCUCUCUGUUCUUCUGGUGUAUGUUCUAGACAGCUGAGACCCAUCAUCAGCCUUCUCUUAGCCCCCAGUAUUUGUCCUCUAUCUGAACCUUGUUUUCUUUUCUCCAUUAACCACACUAAUCAUCCCCCAGCUUUGCUCUCUUUCUACAGAGCUUAUCCAUACUUCCUCUUGCCCCACUGUUUCCCCCCUUUGUGACACUUCUGGUUCCUCCAUUGUCCAGGUCCCACCUGCCUUCAACUAACUGAUCUCUGCACUGUCCUCCUCCCUCCAGCUCCAGUCAACACCAGCUGCCACUGCAUCUAAUGAAUACUUGAGAGGGAAAGAUUAUAUUUUAAAAUAUUGAAGACAAUCCAUGAAAUCAAUUCAACUGUCUUAUGAAGCCAAGAGGUAGAUUUGUCUACAGGAAUUUUAACAGCCCAAGUGUUUUCAUCUAGAUUGUAAGUAAUCAAGAACAGCCGAGAGGUAAGAAAUUAAUACUCCAAUGAAUCAAAUCAGUCCUUGCUGCAGUCACUAAAUUUUGCUUUCUAAUAAUUACAGCACAGAAUGCAUGUGAAAAUGAAGAAAGCAAUAAUUCUACUGGAAAUGUCCUGGAUCCAAAGCAUAAAAUAUAUACCGUACUUUUCCGUGUGUAAGAUGAGGUUUUUAUGUUCAAAAAUGUGCCUCAUCUUAUACAUGGAUAGUGAGUGGGAUGGACGGGUGUUUGGCAAGAGCAUGUCAUCAACGAUUGUUGGCUGCUAGAAGGGCUGCUUUGGAUUGGCUGCUGCUUCUCUAAUUGGGUUGGUGAUUGGUUGCUCCGGAUUGGCUGUCACUGCCAUGACUGGUGGCUGCUGUUCUGGGAUGUGUGCGAUUGCCAGCAGACAGCUUUUCUCAGUUGCGUAAGAGAUUUUUUUGCUUGGGAAGGGACUGCUUGCGAUUUGCUAUUGCUGUGGCAAGUGGGCAAUUUUUGGCAAUUUGCCCCCCAAAAGCUGUAAAACUCUGGUCAAUCCCCCUCAAAAAAGCUCAGCAACUCUGAGGCAUCUCCACCCCCCCAUUUUCUUAAAUUUGAGUCCCCCAAAAUAGAGGGCAUCUUAUACAAGGGGGCAUCUUAUAGACGGAAAAGUAUGGUACCUUCUGUCAGAAGAAUUUUAGAACAAUUUUUUUUUAGAAGAAUCAUAAGGAAAGCCUUAGCCAUCUGAUAUAUAUGUAAAUGUCAAUACUAGUAAUUGCAUUUAGGUCUGUGGCUAUUCUGUCUUAUGUUACAAUGGUACACUCCUCUUUAAUUCGCGGUCUUUUGUUCUUCUUUUCUGACACAGUGCAUAUGGAAGGCAUUGAGAUGUUGCGUCUGGUGGAUGUAAGGAAGACUUUGCAGGACAGAGUCUCAAACAAAGAUGUGCUCUCCCAAGUCCACAUUCCCAGCAUGUCCACACUCCUGUCUCAGUGAUGUCUACUCUGGCUUGAUCAUGUACACAGAAUAGAAGAUGGCAGAACCCCUAAGGACGUGCUCCACGGGGAGUUGUAUUCAGGCACCAGGCCUGUUGGCAGACCAACUAUGCGUCAUAAAGAUGUCUGCAAAUGUGACAUGAAGACUGGCAACAUUAACCCUGCCACGUUGGAAUCCUUUGUAGGCAGCCACAGUGCCUGGAGACAGACAGACAGGUCAUGAGUAGGUAUGCUAACUGGGAAGAGCGCAGGGAGAAUAAAUGCUAAGGUGGACCUGAAGACACUUUCAUCUGCCCCAACUGAAAUAAAACAUACCUCAACAGGUACUGUAGCUCUCCAAUGGUUUGGCUAGCAGGACCUGUGGUCAUGGAUGAUGGGGCUUGUAGUCCCAAAAACAGCUGCAGACCCAAGUUUGGGAAACCCCAUUUUAGAUGUUUAAGGCUGCAAUCUGGAAAAAAACAUUGUAAAACCCUUUGUAGAGCAUAAAUCAGUGGCUCCCCUUUCUUUUCCUCAGUAUCAGACAGAAUAACAUCAUGACUGCACACAAUUCUUUCAUUUUGCAGGGGAGGUCAAGGGGGAAAAAAAAGACCAUUUGGAAAUCACGAAAUAGCAAACAUUACCUUGACUCCCCCUUCUGUUCCGGCUGCUGCAAGGAUUUUCCAUACCCUCCCCUUUUGACCGAGGUUGAAUGGACGCAAUUCAAAUCAUAUUUGGACUGGGCCAGGAGUGGAGGAGAGAGGAAUUUGGCAUGGUGAAGGACUGCUAAUUACAUCUGGCAGGAGUUUAUAUAUGUGACUUUGUUUUUUAUCUGCGGGCUGAGGAAAAUAACCCCCAGAAUUUUAAUGGCGGAGAUAAAUGGCGGAGCAGGCAUCUUGUUGGGGAGUUAUUUAUAGCCCAGCAAGUCCUUGAACAAUGGAAGUAAUGUUUUCAAAGGAGUGGAAUGUGAAUGGACAAAGGACGGUGGCAAUAAAUUAUCUCUACACUCCAGGUCUGGGAACAGAGUGCUGGAAGGACUACAUGCAUGAAAUGGAUAUUUAUAUAUUUGUGAAACAACAAAGGUGCUGAUUGCAAAGGAACAAGAAAGAUCAGCUUUGCAGAUGGAUUAAAAUUAAUAGAAGGAUGAGAAGGUGAUUAAAGAAGAAGAACGAAGUGGCAUCAUCAGGAAGCAACGGACAUAUGUUUGUAACAGGAGUGGGAAACCUAAUGAUUAUUUCUUAAAUUGUAUUAAAUCUUAAUAAUUAGGACCGAUUUGUUAUAAUUUGGAAAACUAAUAUAUAUUAUAUGGCUGCAAUAUGAAGCAUGCUUGCUGGAAGUAAAUUCUACUGAAUCCUUUUGGAAGAAAACAGGACUGACUUUGGAGUAAGCACUGGGCCGCAUGGCUGCAAUGAUAUUCACACUGAGAUUAUAUCUCAUAGGGCUUCCGGUUUCGGUUGCCUUAAUGGCGCAGCUCCCAAGACAACGGGAGAUCGUUGGUGAAGGAACAAACAAAGAUGAUUGAGGGUCGGGGGGGGGGGGAGAGCUUCACUCACAGAUCAUCUCAGUACCUGGCUUUUGCUCUGACAUGAAAUAGGCACUGAGUGCAAAAGCACUUUGCCCGUCAGUAACCCUCCUAUGCUGCCAUUAAGAAGCAGCUGUUCUUCUGUUCAUUAAGAGUUUAAUUAGGAUUAAUAUACAGACGCAUGCUGGUAAUUAUGGGACAAGAUCAAAAACUGCCAAAUUGAAACAGCUACAAAGGUGUAAAGAUUUGAACUGGAAAGAAGACUUCCUUUGAUGCAAAAGAUGGUACGUGGGGCGGGGGGAGACUCCAGCUUCCUUUUUAUAUAUAUCUUGUUUGUUACAUAAAUGACUCGACAACCCCCCCCCCCCGAAUGCUAAAAAGUUUUAAUAAAGAGAAAAUAAAAGAGAACGGGGAUAUAGUUAUGAAUUGCAAUGCAGAAUAGAAUUGUGUGUGAAAAUUGAAAUGGAUUUUAAACAAUUGGACAGAGUUAAUUUUCACUGUAUCGCUGCUUUAGCGAAGAAGACUUUGAAGAUGUGCCAAGGCUUUGGUGGGAUGCCAGAUCAUUAUUUUGAGAGUUGGAGAAGCUGGAGACUCUCCAAGGCUUUGGCAGGGUGCCAGAUUACCCAUUUCCUAGACUUGAAAAAGCGUGGAACAAUGACUCAGUUGUAAUUAGAGCCUCACUCUCCAGAAACAGAGAUAGUGGAAACAGCGAUGUUGCGCAGGGCAUGAUGGAAACCAGGAAGAAUGAAGACACAAUGUUUUAUAAGGACAAAAAGAAACAAUAUGGGCAAAAUAAAUAAACACAAAUAUAAAAUAUCACACACAGGAACAAUAAAGGACAUAGAACUCCACUUGCAGGAAUACAAAUUAUUAAAUGUGUUAAUACGAAUGAAAGUUAAAAACACUGUAGCUGUUGUAUAAGGGAUUAUGAUAGAGAUUGAAAUGUAAUUGGAUUAAAUAAGACUCUGGAAGCAGAAUUAAAUGAAAUUAUCUUACCUUGAAAUCUAGCACACAGGGGGCCAUCUAAAAUGUGUAAUUGGCUUUUUAAUUGAUUGAUACUGGAAUUGGAAUGGUAAUUUGGUAUUGAUACAAUAGGUGGGCUGUUGUUCCAUAUCCAUUUGCACAGUGAAUUAUGAAGCCUUUCAUUUAUCUUUUUAUCCAAAAUCUAAACUACUUUUUAUGGUUUUGGAACUUUAUCUCAUAGGGCUUCCAAUUUAUUAUUAUUAGGUGAGUUAUGGAAUCCCAGGUGAUGAGUGGAUCUUACUCAAGGAGAACAUACAAAGGCUGGCCUACCCUCAGCGCCCUCAUAAUUGCUUGAGCCUGACUUUGGAAUCGGCUACAUCAGAAAAAAAGGGUUUUAAAUGUGUUAUAACACUGUGACACCAGAUGGCGCUGUAGAGUUCCAUCUUUUGGCACAAGAUUUUCCAUUAUGAGGUUUAGAACACGUUUUCCUGAAAUGUUUUUUUGAUGUGUUUAGAUCUAGCCACUGUUGUUCUGGAUGUUUACUGAUGACAGGAGGCAAACAGGCAGUCUCUUGGGAUGGGAAGAUAUACUGCAACAAUUGUGUUGCAGAUCACAUUGGUGUUAUCAGAAUGCAAACUUUACAAAUGAAGAACAAUCAGUAACAUAAAUUAUAAUAAACCAUAUCAUAUUGGAACAUAAUCACACCAAAUUCAUAUGUCCAUUGUCUGCAUUGGAAACCAUUCUGAAAGUCUCAUAAAAUAUAUUGCAAAAGGGAC